rnacentral:rRNA from 1 species
GACGAACGCUGGCGGCGUGCUUAACACAUGCAAGUCGAACGGAAAGGCCCUGCUUUUGUGGGGUGCUCGAGUGGCGAACGGGUGAGUAACACGUGAGUAACCUGCCCUUGACUUUGGGAUAACUUCAGGAAACUGGGGCUAAUACCGGAUAGGAGCUCCUGCUGCAUGGUGGGGGUUGGAAAGUUUCGGCGGUUGGGGAUGGACUCGCGGCUUAUCAGCUUGUUGGUGGGGUAGUGGCUUACCAAGGCUUUGACGGGUAGCCGGCCUGAGAGGGUGACCGGCCAAAUUGGGACUGAGAGACGGCCCAGACUCCAACGGGAGGCAGCAGGGGGGAAUAUUGAACAAUGGGCGAAAGCCGGAGGAAGAAACGCCGCGUGCGGGAGGACGGCCUUCGGGUGGUAAACCGCUUUGGCCGGUGACGAAGGGUAGGUAAAGGUAAUGGGAAAAGAAGCACGGGCAAACUACGU